AUUGAACGCUGGCGGCAUGCCUUACACAUGCAAGUCGAACGGUAACGCGGGGCAACCUGGCGACGAGUGGCGAACGGGUGAGUAAAGUAUCGGAACGUGCCCAGUAGUGGGGGAUAGCCCGGCGAAAGCCGGAUUAAUACCGCAUGAGACCUGAGGGUGAAAGCGGGGGAUCGCAAGACCUCGCGCUAUUGGAGCGGCCGAUAUCAGAUUAGGUCGUUGGUGGGGUAAAGGCCUACCAAGCCGACGAUCUGUAGCUGGUCUGAGAGGACGACCAGCCACACUGGGACUGAGACGCGGCCCAGACUCCUACGGGAGGCAGCAGUGGGGAAUUUUGGACAAUGGGCGCAAGCCUGAUCCAGCCAUGCCGCGUGCGGGAAGAAGGCCUUCGGGUUGUAAACCGCUUUUGUCAGGGAAGAAAUCUCCUGGGCUAAUACCUCGGGGGGAUGACGGUACCUGAAGAAUAAGCACCGGCUAACUACGUGCCAGCCGCCGCGGUAAUAU
rnacentral:rRNA from 1 species